AGGAUUUUUAAGGAACAUCCCAUAAGUAUCAAGAUUGUUCAUUCCUCUGAGCUGGAAAGACAAGAUGGGCCAAGGGAAGAGGUCAAGGUCACCUGCAGCAGGAGGACGAAGGCUUAGAGAGGCCAGCGCGGGUCCGGCCAGCAAGAGGCAGGUGCAGGUUCCCGCGAGUGGCUUGCAGGCUCCAGCUGUCCCAGCGCUCCCAGACUGCACGACCGCCUUCUUUCCGGACCACCCGCCCAGGGAUUUCAGGUGAAAAAGCAGCAGCUGAACUGGGGCUCUCUUACCAGCAUCUGUAAUUCAGUGCUGCAGAUGCGGAAGAGUAAUACUCAGAGAAAAGCACCUCGACAAAUUUUACUAGACCUAAAACAUUUCUGCCUCGCGUCCGAGGACAAAACCAGAUGGGAUAUAAAAGAAAACGCCAGUGAAGGCUUUAAGGGUAAAGAGUUGCUGUCAUCUGGCCCCAUAAGUCAGCAAAUAUUCGCCAGGUGCCUGGGGUUCUGCACUGUCGUGGGCAUGUGGUGUGCAUGUUAGAGAACACGGGCCAGCAUUGCGCCCUUAGCCAAGCGUCCCGUGUGAAUGAUGGCGCACGUACUACAUCCGACGCCCCCACCACGUUGUCUUCAG